UACCUGAUUGAUUCUGUCAGCGCGAUAUGCUCAAGUAAAAGAUUAAGCCAUGCAUGCUUUGAUUCAUAAAUGAAAUUGCGUACGGCUCAUUAGAGCAGAUAUCACCUUUCUCGGAAUCCUGAAAAGGAUAACUGCGGAAAUUCUGGAGCUAAUACAUGCGACUAUACUCCAACGCAAGGCGGGGUGCAAUUAUUAGAACAGACCAAACGUUUUCGGACGUUGUUUGUUGACUCUGAAUACCCUCGUUUACUGUCAGUUUCGACUGACUCUAUCCGAGAAGGGUGUCUGCCCUUUCAACUAGAUGGUAAUCUAUUGGACUACCAUGGUUGUUACGGGUAACGGAGAAUUAGGGUUCGACUCCGGAGAGGGAGCCUUAGAAACGGCUACCACGUCCAAGGAAGGCAGCAGGCGCGAAACUUAUCCACUGUUGAGUAUGAGAUAGUGACUAAAAAUAUAAAGACUCAUCCUUUUGGAUGAGUUAUUUCAAUGAGUUGAAUAUAAAUUAUUCUUCGAGUAGCAAGGAGAGGGCAAGUCUGGUGCCAGCAGCCGCGGUAAUUCCAGCUCUCCUAGUGUAUCUCGUUAUUGCUGCGGUUAAAAAGCUCGUAGUUGGAUCUAGGUUACGUGCCGCAGUUCGCAAUUUGCGUUAACUGUGGUCGUGACUUCUAAUUUGCUGGUUUGAGGUUGGGUUCGCCCUUCAACUGCCAGCAGGUUUACCUUGAAUAAAUCAGAGUGCUCAAUACAGGCGCUUGCUUGAAUAGCUCAUCAUGGAAUAAUGAAACAGGACUUCGGUUCUUUUUGUUGGUUCUAGAAUUGAUCUAAUGGUUAAGAGGGACAAACCGGGGGCAUUCGUAUCAUUACGCGAGAGGUGAAAUUCGUGGACCGUAGUGAGACGCCCAAUAGCGAAAGCAUUUGCCAAGAAUGUCUUCAUUAAUCAAGAACGAAAGUCAGAGGUUCGAAGGCGAUUAGAUACCGCCCUAGUUCUGACCGUAAACGAUGCCAUCUCGCGAUACGGAGGGUUCAUGCCCUACCGAGGAGCUACCCGGAAACGAAAGUCUUUCGGUUCCGGGGGUAGUAUGGUUGCAAAGCUGAAACUUAAAGAAAUUGACGGAAGGGCACCACAAGGCGUGGAGCUUGCGGCUUAAUUUGACUCAACACGGGAAAACUCACCCGGUCCGGACACUAUUAGGACUGACAGAUUGAAAGCUCUUUCUCGAUUUGGUGGUUGGUGGUUGCAUGGCCGUUCUUAGUUGGUGGAGUGAUUUGUCUGGUUUA
rfam:Caenorhabditis japonica strain DF5081 Contig8864.1, whole genome shotgun sequence.